rnacentral:tRNA from 1 species
GGCUCUGUAGCUUAGUUGGUAAGAGCAGGCGGCUCAUAACCGCCAGGUCGCAGGUUCAAUCCCUGCCAGAGCCA